rnacentral:lncRNA from 1 species
GGCAAAAUGGGUGAGCAGAGGCAGCCAGCCCAGGGAGGGGAGAAGAGGAAGUGGAGGCCCAGAGAUUAUGAAGCUCGGCGAGGCAGAAAGCUUUCUAAUUCCCAGUUCCCAUGAGCCCUGACUGGGCUGUUUGCCCUUCUGUUCUGAGAAAUUCCUGUGUCCCUUCAAAUAUGCUUCUCUUUUGGCUUAAGCUACUUUGAGCAGUUUCUUAUUCUUCAAAGCCGAAAGAGUCUUAAAGAGAAUGCAUCCAUGACCCUCUCCCGCCACUCUCACAUCUUGUUUAUGUUCAUCUCCAGGACCUUGGACAGGGCCCAGCACAGGGGCCCUGGAAUGUGGACUGUCUCAGUGGAUUCUUGUUUAUAGGAAUUAGAGGAAGGUGGAAGAAGCUCAUUCCAUAGAGUGCAAUCAAUAACAGUGGAAAGAAGUCCCUGGAGCCCAGUGCAGUGGCUUGAACUGA